GUGGGAUUGUGGCUCAAUGGUAGAGCGCAAGACUUGUGCAUGUGAGGCACUGGGUUCGAUCCUCAGCACUACA
rnacentral:tRNA from 1 species